ACUUUCAGGUACACCAAUCCAUCAUAGGUUUUGUUUUUUCACAUAGUCCCAUAUUUCUUGGAGGCUUUGUUUGUUCCUUUUCAUUCUUUUUUCUCUAAUUUUGUCUUCAUGCCUUAUUUCAGUAAGUUGAUCUUUAAUCUCUGAUAUCCUUUAUUCUGCUUGAUCAGUUCAGCUAUUGAUACUUGUGUAUGCUUCACAAAGUUCUCAUGCUGUUUUCAGCUCCAUCAAGUCAUUUAUGUUCUUCUCUAAACUAGUUAUUCUAGUUAGCAGUUUCUGUAACCUUUUAUCAAGAUUCUUAGCUUCUUUGCAUUGGUUUAGAACGUGCUCCUUUAGCUCAGAGGAGUUUGUUAUUACCCACAUUCUGAAGCCCUACUUCUGUCAAUUUGUCGAACUCAUUCUCCAUCCAGUUUCUUGCCCUUGCUGGAGAGGAAUUGCAAUCAUAUGUAGAAGAGGCCUUCUUUUUUUUUGGAAUUUUCAGUGUUUCUGUUCUGGUUUUUCCUCAUCUUUGUGUAUUUAUCUACCUUUGAUCUUUGAGGCUGAUGACCUUUGGAUGGAGUUUUUGUGUGGGGGUCGUUUAUGUUGAUGUUGAUAUUGUUGCUUUCUGUUUGUUAGUUUUUCUUCUAACAGUGAAGCUCCCCUUCUGCAGGUCUGCUGCAGUUUGCUGAAGGUCCACUGCAGAUCCUGUUCACCUGGGUAUCAAAAGUGGAGGCUGCAAAACAGCAAAGAUUGCUUCCUGCUCCUUCCUCUGGAAGCUUCGUCCCAGAGGGGUACUGGCCUGAUGUCAGUCGGAGCUCUCCUGUAUGAGGUGUCUGUCCAACCCUGUUGGGAGAUCUCUCCCAGUCAGGAAGCACGGGGGUCAGGGACCCACUUGAGGAAGCAGUUUGUCCCUUAGCAGAGCUGGUGCACUGUGCUGGGAGAAUCCCUCUUGCCAGGAUCAGCUAUUCUCUUCAGAGCCGGCAGAAUCCCUGCCCAGUGAGGAGGAAUCUAGAAAAGCAGUCUGGCCACUGC
rnacentral:lncRNA from 10 species